GACGAACGCUGGCGGCGUGCCUAAUACAUGCAAGUCGAGCGGAACUGGGGGAGCUUGCUCCUUCCAGUUUAGCGGCGGACGGGUGAGUAACACGUGGGCAACCUGCCCUGCAGAUCGGGAUAACUCCGGGAAACCGGUGCUAAUACCGAAUAGUUUGAGGCCUCUCCUGAGGCUUCACGGAAAGACGGUUUCGGCUGUCACUGCAGGAUGGGCCCGCGGCGCAUUAGCUAGUUGGUGGGGUAACGGCCCACCAAGGCCACGAUGCGUAGCCGACCUGAGAGGGUGACCGGCCACACUGGGACUGAGACACGGCCCAGACUCCUACGGGAGGCAGCAGUAGGGAAUCUUCCGCAAUGGACGCAAGUCUGAUGGAGCAACGCCGCGUGAGUGACGAAGGUUUUCGGAUCGUAAAACUCUGUUGUGAGGGAAGAACACGUACCAACUAACUAUUGGUACCUUGACGGUACCUCACCAGAAAGCCACGGCUAACUGCGUGCCAGCCGCCGCCGUAA
rnacentral:rRNA from 1 species